GAUUGAUAGUAAGAUUUUUUUCUGUGAUUUUUUGUCUCAUAUGCAUUCUGAUUUGGUUGGUUAAUUGGUCAUGGUCAUUCUUACUAAUCAACUGAGUUGAGGAUCUUAAACUAUCAGGGACCAAAGAAUCAGAAAGAAAAAAACAUAUAAAGCUCUGCAGCAACAAUCUACUGCAGUAAUCUUGUUAUUCACUUUAAAGUUAAGACUUCAUUUUUUUUAUUAUCUUUUCUCUAGUCCAUUAUCCCUUUUACUAGAUUUCAUGGGACUGUACCUAUGUAAGAUUAGGUACUAAAUCAUGUUUGGAUAUAUUGUAAUAAAUUCAUACAAAGAUGAGUUUAUUUGUAGUGGUCAUAUUGGUUUAAUUCUUAGUGUUGCUUUGUUUUGGUACAUGAUUUCGUUUACAAAUUUUACCCAUUUUGGUAUGGCACUCCAAGUAUUUGUUAAUUUGUCUAGUUGGGUUACUAAAUAUGCAAGGGAUCAAUAUCAAAUAGGAGUGUAGUGAGUGGUGGUUAUUAGAUUUUUUAUUUUGGGAUAAAGUGAAAUUUAGAGAAAUGGGUUAUUGGAAUAUAUAUUUAUUUUUGGCUAAAUAUAUGUAUAUAUAUAUCACUAUAACUAGGAUAUAUGUUUUGUCUUCUAGUAUUUAGAAUAAUCUAAUAUUGUCCAUUAAGUUUCAAAUGGAGUUUCUUCCUAUGUCUUUCGGUACUCACACGUUAUUUUCUCAAAAAUGCAUCUCUAUCAAUGAAAUUAAAGCUAACAUAGAAAACAAAGGAUUACUGCAUUACAUGGAUUUUUUUUAAUUACUACAUUUUUCUUCAAGGUGUGAUCGUUUUUCCACUCCAUGUCAUGUAUGCAUUUUCUUUGUGUUUAUUGACUUAUGUCUAGUUUGGAUCUAGGACUACUGUUUGCAUCUCUUACCAUGAGUUCUUUGACUAUUAUAUAAUACUAUGUAGCUUAAUUAUUAGUCUGGCACAUACAACUGCAAGAGUUAUUAAGCCUUAUUGAUUUUACUCAUUAGAGAUGGUACCAGUAAGUCAAAAGGACCUUUAGUUUAAGUAAGGUGCUUAAACCUAACUUUUCACUCAAUGUGGUUAUGUAGUUGUCAUUUGUAGCCACGAAGAAGUCCUUCUAAGUUUUUUGCAUUAUAUAUUUGUGUCAAUAAAGUUAAGAUUAUCACAUUCCACCUCCAAAAGCUCUAAUUACUGUCAUAGAUAAAAGCAGAAUGUAAGUUUUGGCAUUUUUAUAUACUUUAGUUUGAUCUUGCUCUUAAUUUAUUUAAAUGAUUGGUUUGUUGUUGGAUGAAUAAUAUUUCUUUCUAGUUCAGUUAUAAUUUAGCAAAUUUGAAAAAUGAUCUCGCUGUGUACUAUGUUAUGAAGAGUUGAACCAAGAUCAUUAAACAAUACUAACCAUGACUAUAACAAAUAAACAUUAUUUAAGUAAGCACAUUAAUAUUUUGGAUGGUUUUUGUAUUUCUUUAACCAUGACUAGAAUCCAUUCUUUUUUGUUUUUCCUCUUCUUUUUUUAUAUAAUUCUUUUGGCUGCUCCUUCUCAUGAUUAAUUCAGUAUUGAUUAUAUUUUUUAGCUCAUUACAAGUGUUGAAUCACAAAUAUCCAACACUUGCAUAUAUUUAGAUAAAGUUUAGUUCAUUCACUCUCUAUUCUCUUUGAUGAAUGUGGUGCUAUUUGGAGAGACCAGUGAUAAGGAACACAACAUAAUGAAAAUUUCAUCUGUUUGCCAUAAUGGAUUUGUAUUGUAUUGUAUGUAUUUGGUUUCGAUUCAUGUGUAGGGUGAUUGGUGCAGGAUAAUUGGCCUUCUGUGAUGUUUGCAAUGGCAGGAGGGGUGGUACUUAGCCUUGGAAAUGUCUCAACUCAGUAUGCUUGGGCUUUUGUUGGCUUAUCAGUCACAGAAGUGAUCACUGCAAGCAUAACAGUUGUUAUAGGAACAACCUCGAAUUACUUUUUUGAGGUUGACAGGAACAACCUUGAAUUUUUUCCCUGGCGUUGGCUGCUUCUUGGCUGUAGUUUGCCUUGGUUCUACUGUCCACUCAUCUAAUGCAUCUGAUAAUAAAGAAAAGCUUGAAGGUUUUUCAUCUAAAGAGGGGUGUUUGGGAAAAGCACUCUCAUUGGACUGUCCAUAUGUUUCUUUGCUGGUGUUUGCUUUUCUCUAUUCUCACCAGCACUCAAACAAAUGAUCAAUGGCAUACAUUGAAAGAUGGGGUUCCUCACUUGGUUGUCUACACUGCAUUCUUUUACUUCUCAGUAUCUUGUUUUGUCCUUGCUAUAAUCCUCACAUCUCAUUCCUUUACUACCCUGUGCUGGACUUACCGAAAUCAUCAUUCAAGGCUUAUAUGUUGAAUAUUUAAGACUACUUGAAUACUGUAACACCCUACUACCUUAGAGACAUUACUAAGUGAGUUUAAAAUGAAAAUGUGCAACUAACUUGCUCUACGAGGUUUUUAAAACCAAAAGUGUGACUAGA